rnacentral:lncRNA from 1 species
AUAACAUGUGUUUCUCCUGAACAGUUUUAAGUGGCCAGAAAUUAGGGAUAAUUGGGUUCUCCUGUGAGACACAGUAAAGAACAGUUUUUAUAUAAAAGGAAAGAGUUAGAGGUAGAGUUUUCUUUCUGUGGGUCACAAAACUGAAAGGCAAUAUCAGGCUGCCUUUUUAGCAAAUCAUAUUUCAGUUCCUAAUGAUACUGUCUUCAGCUUUUCCUAAAAUUCCCUUCCCCUGACAUGAACAGAAACAGAAGCUAAGGCUUCUUAAGUUUUAAGUUUUAAGGCAAUGAAGUCACCUUCCAUUUCCAGUGGGAGACUACUGGAUUAACGAGAAUUAUAGAGCUGCUGAUUCACUUUAUGGGGACUCAGGUCACUGACUCUGACUUGUCCUCCUUUUGAGGUUUGAUGUGCAGAAAAGGAGAAGUCUCUUCUCACAGUUUGAACUGAUGAUCCCACACAUGACUCCUUCCCACCAGUCUCUUCUUUGAGUUUACAGUUUUCUUCCUUGUACCUUAAAAAUAGGCUUUUACUUUUUUUUUUUUUUGAUUGAAGAAAUGGUCCUCAUCAGCAAUUCAUUUUGCAUCCAUUGGCGUGACAGAUGCGCUGUAUAUAGCCGUGUGCCUGCUCAGGAGCUCUUCUCGCCAGGCGGUUCUCCAGGCCUGGAUCCCAGCCAAUGUCAGAAGCAUCGUAUAUGGAUCAACACAGAAGUGGAAUGCAGAAGCUGACAGAUGAAUCAAAGAACAGGUUGCAGGGGUUUGUGAGAGCUACCUUCUCAACGUUUAGUGCGGCCGUGUGGAGAAAAUGGGUAUGGGUUUCUGAACUGCUCAGAAUAACAAAUGAGACUGAUGUGUGUUCUAUUUGGAAUUAUCAUUUUAAAAAUGAGUCGUUGGGUCACAAAACGACAGACCUCCACUUAUCGGAUGGAGUUGGUGGCUUUGAGUUCCUGGAGCUUGACUGUUUUCUAUGCACCGGUAAUCUAAGGGCACAGGAGGUAUGUCAGGAGUCAGAAGACCUGGGCUUUUGUGUUCAGCUGUUUAACUAGGAGCAACUUAGCCCUUUGGAUCAUUUUUACUACCCAUAGGCUUGUUGCAAAGAUUAAAUUAGAUGAUUAAGAAGAUUGGAGUGUCUUAAAUGUUCAAGGCAUCAAGAGCUGAGAAAGCCAAAGGCAAGAACAUUUACAGCAAAGUUCUAGUUUCUUAACGUAUUAAUGUAUGAAAAUUUUCCUUUCCUACUUGGUAGAUUGUCAUCUUUUCAUUUGGAUUAAAAAGUACAUCUUGUAAAACUAAAUAUUGUCUUCCUUUCUCCUCUUUCUUUUAAUGCUCCUUCCUUCUUUCUCUUUUUAAUUUUUUUUUUUUUUUUGGUGAGCAGUGUAUGUGAAAGCAUUUCUGUCCUCAUAAGAAGACAUUAAUUCUAAAGGAUAUGGGAUAAAUUAUUCUUACAUUUUGAUUAUCUUAUUUAUGACUUCAUUUCAUUUCACUUAAUUUUUAAUAUUAACAUAUUUUAAAAUAUAUGGACAAUAAUACAACAAAUGUCUGAUCUAUAUUUUUAACACACUUUCUGGAGUAUGUUUGCUUUAGCUGCCUUUAUUGAAAGAUGUAAAAUAUUCGAGAGAUAGUCGACAUCACAGACCCACAUCUCUUCCUGUUUUUCCUGUGGACCUUCUCUGUUAAAGGGAUUCUGCAUUCUUUCUAUGCAAGGUUCUGGACUUUAGUAACAAAGGAAUGUCUCUGUAUCCAAAAGAAACUAUUUUUCUCUAUUUUGAAAUAGUGUUCUUGCCUGGAGAAUCUCAGGGAGCCUGGUGGGCUGCCGUCUAUGGGGUCACACAGAGUCGGACACGACGGAAGCGACUCAGCAGCAGCAGCAGCAGCAGUGUACACAUUCAUUCACUCUGUGUUUGUCUCUUGACAAAGAGAAAUGUAGCCUGCCAGGCUCCU